rnacentral:rRNA from 1 species
GUGAAAAACUCGUUCGCCGGAAGACCAAGGGUUCCUGUCCAACGUUAAUCGGGGCAGGGUGAGUCGGCCCCUAAGGCGAGGCUGAAAAGCGUAGUCGAUGGGAAACGGGUUAAUAUUCCCGUACUUGGUAAAGCUGCGAUGUGGGGACGGAGAAGGUUAGGUUAGCAGACUGUUGGAUGUCUGUUUAAGUUGGUAGGUGGGGAGUUUAGGCAAAUCCGGACUUCCAUAACACUGAGAGAUGAUGACGAGUUUCUACGGAAAUGAAGUAACUGAUACCACGCUUCCAGGAAAAGCCACUAAGCGAAAGGCUUUACUAAACCGUACUGAAAACCGACACAGGUGGUCAGGUAGAGAAUACUCAGGCGCUUGAGAGAACUCGGGUGAAGGAACUAGGCAAAAUAGCACCGUAACUUCGGGAGAAGGUGCGCUGGCGUAGGUUGU